rnacentral:rRNA from 1 species
ACUAAGCGUACACGGUGGAUGCCCUGGCAGUCAGAGGCGAUGAAGGACGUGCUAAUCUGCGAUAAGCGUCGGUGAGGUGAUAUGAACCGUUAUAACCGGCGAUUUCCGAAUGGGGAAACCCAGUGUGUUUCGACACACUAUCAUUAACUGAAUCCAUAGGUUAAUGAGGCGAACCGGGGGAACUGAAACAUCUAAGUACCCCGAGGAAAAGAAAUCAACCGAGAUUCCCCCAGUAGCGGCGAGCGAACGGGGAGCAGCCCAGAGCCUGAAUCAGUGUGUGUGUUAGUGGAAGCGUCUGGAAAGGCGCGCGAUACAGGGUGACAGCCCCGUACACAAAAAUGCACAUGCUGUGAGCUCGAUGAGUAGGGCGGGACACGUGGUAUCCUGUCUGAAUAUGGGGGGACCAUCCUCCAAGGCUAAAUACUCCUGACUGACCGAUAGUGAACCAGUACCGUGAGGGAAAGGCGAAAAGAACCCCGGCGAGGGGAGUGAAAAAGAACCUGAAACCGUGUACGUACAAGCAGUGGGAGCCUCUUUAUGGGGUGACUGCGUACCUUUUGUAUAAUGGGUCAGCGACUUAUAUUCUGUAGCAAGGUUAACCGAAUAGGGGAGCCGAAGGGAAACCGAGUCUUAACUGGGCGUUAAGUUGCAGGGUAUAGACCCGAAACCCGGUGAUCUAGCCAUGGGCAGGUUGAAGGUUGGGUAACACUAACUGGAGGACCGAACCGACUAAUGUUGAAAAAUUAGCGGAUGACUUGUGGCUGGGGGUGAAAGGCCAAUCAAACCGGGAGAUAGCUGGUUCUCCCCGAAAGCUAUUUAGGUAGCGCCUCGUGAAUUCAUCUCCGGGGGUAGAGCACUGUUUCGGCAAGGGGGUCAUCCCGACUUACCAACCCGAUGCAAACUGCGAAUACCGGAGAAUGUUAUCACGGGAGACACACGGCGGGUGCUAACGUCCGUCGUGAAGAGGGAAACAACCCAGACCGCCAGCUAAGGUCCCAAAGUCAUGGUUAAGUGGGAAACGAUGUGGGAAGGCCCAGACAGCCAGGAUGUUGGCUUAGAAGCAGCCAUCAUUUAAAGAAAGCGUAAUAGCUCACUGGUCGAGUCGGCCUGCGCGGAAGAUGUAACGGGGCUAAACCAUGCACCGAAGCUGCGGCAGCGACGCUUAUGCGUUGUUGGGUAGGGGAGCGUUCUGUAAGCCUGCGAAGGUGUGCUGUGAGGUAUGCUGGAGGUAUCAGAAGUGCGAAUGCUGACAUAAGUAACGAUAAAGCGGGUGAAAAGCCCGCUCGCCGGAAGACCAAGGGUUCCUGUCCAACGUUAAUCGGGGCAGGGUGAGUCGACCCCUAAGGCGAGGCCGAAAGGCGUAGUCGAUGGGAAACAGGUUAAUAUUCCUGUACUUGGUGUUACUGCGAAGGGGGGACGGAGAAGGCUAUGUUGGCCGGGCGACGGUUGUCCCGGUUUAAGCGUGUAGGCUGAUUUUCCAGGCAAAUCCGGAAAAUCAAGGCUGAGGCGUGAUGACGAGGCACUACGGUGCUGAAGCAACAAAUGCCCUGCUUCCAGGAAAAGCCUCUAAGCAUCAGGUAACAUCAAAUCGUACCCCAAACCGACACAGGUGGUCAGGUAGAGAAUACCAAGGCGCUUGAGAGAACUCGGGUGAAGGAACUAGGCAAAAUGGUGCCGUAACUUCGGGAGAAGGCACGCUGAUAUGUAGGUGAAGCGACUUGCUCGUGGAGCUGAAAUCAGUCGAAGAUACCAGCUGGCUGCAACUGUUUAUUAAAAACACAGCACUGUGCAAACACGAAAGUGGACGUAUACGGUGUGACGCCUGCCCGGUGCCGGAAGGUUAAUUGAUGGGGUUAGCGGUAACGCGAAGCUCUUGAUCGAAGCCCCGGUAAACGGCGGCCGUAACUAUAACGGUCCUAAGGUAGCGAAAUUCCUUGUCGGGUAAGUUCCGACCUGCACGAAUGGCGUAAUGAUGGCCAGGCUGUCUCCACCCGAGACUCAGUGAAAUUGAACUCGCUGUGAAGAUGCAGUGUACCCGCGGCAAGACGGAAAGACCCCGUGAACCUUUACUAUAGCUUGACACUGAACAUUGAGCCUUGAUGUGUAGGAUAGGUGGGAGGCUUUGAAGUGUGGACGCCAGUCUGCAUGGAGCCGGCCUUGAAAUACCACCCUUUAAUGUUUGAUGUUCUAACGUUGGCCCCUGAUCGGGGUUGCGGACAGUGUCUGGUGGGUAGUUUGACUGGGGCGGUCUCCUCCUAAAGAGUAACGGAGGAGCACGAAGGUUGGCUAAUCCUGGUCGGACAUCAGGAGGUUAGUGCAAUGGCAUAAGCCAGCUUGACUGCGAGCGUGACGGCGCGAGCAGGUGCGAAAGCAGGUCAUAGUGAUCCGGUGGUUCUGAAUGGAAGGGCCAUCGCUCAACGGAUAAAAGGUACUCCGGGGAUAACAGGCUGAUACCGCCCAAGAGUUCAUAUCGACGGCGGUGUUUGGCACCUCGAUGUCGGCUCAUCACAUCCUGGGGCUGAAGUAGGUCCCAAGGGUAUGGCUGUUCGCCAUUUAAAGUGGUACGCGAGCUGGGUUUAGAACGUCGUGAGACAGUUCGGUCCCUAUCUGCCGUGGGCGCUGGAGAACUGAGGGGGGCUGCUCCUAGUACGAGAGGACCGGAGUGGACGCAUCACUGGUGUUCGGGUUGUCAUGCCAAUGGCACUGCCCGGUAGCUAAAUGCGGAAGAGAUAAGUGCUGAAAGCAUCUAAGCACGAAACUUGCCCCGAGAUGAGUUCUCCCUGAGACUUAGAGUCUCCUGAAGGAACGUUGAAGACGACGACGUUGAUAGGCCGGGUGUGUAAGCGCAGCGAUGCGUUGAGCUAACCGGUACUAAUGAACCGUGAGGCUUAACC